rnacentral:rRNA from 1 species
CUACGGGAGGCAGCAGUGGGGAAUAUUGCACAAUGGGCGAAAGCCUGAUGCAGCGACGCCGCGUGAGGGAUGACGGCCUUCGGGUUGUAAACCUCUUUCAGCAGGGAAGAAGCGAAAGUGACGGUACCUGCAGAAGAAGCACCGGCUAACUACGUGCCAGCAGCCGCGGUAAUA